CCUUCGGGGAACGAUAACGGCGUCGAGCGGCGGACGGGUGAGUAAUGCCUAGGAAAUUGCCCUGAUGUGGGGGAUAACCAUUGGAAACGAUGGCUAAUACCGCAUGAUGCCUACGGGCCAAAGAGGGGGACCUUCGGGCCUCUCGCGUCAGGAUAUGCCUAGGUGGGAUUAGCUAGUUGGUGAGGUAAGGGCUCACCAAGGCGACGAUCCCUAGCUGGUCUGAGAGGAUGAUCAGCCACACUGGAACUGAGACACGGUCCAGACUCCUACGGGAGGCAGCAGUGGGGAAUAUUGCACAAUGGGCGCAAGCCUGAUGCAGCCAUGCCGCGUGUAUGAAGAAGGCCUUCGGGUUGUAAAGUACUUUCAGCAGUGAGGAAGGUUCAUACGUUAAUAGCGUAUGGAUUUGACGUUAGCUGCAGAAGAAGCACCGGCUAACUCCGUGCCAGCAGCCGCGGUAAUACGGAGGGUGCGAGCGUUAAUCGGAAUUACUGGGCGUAAAGCGCAUGCAGGUGGUUUGUUAAGUCAGAUGUGAAAGCCCGGGGCUCAACCU
rnacentral:rRNA from 1 species